CAGUUUUGCAACAACUGGACUGAAGGGCUGGGGCCUCGGAGGAGGGAGCAAAUGCAGGGUGAUGGGAUUUAAUUGGGAUGUGGGUGUGGAUGUAGGGAUGGAACAGGAGCAGAGGAGCUGGGAUGCACUUGGCAAGGCAAUCUCCCCACAGAGCUGAGCCUGAGCCAUCAAGGUCCACACAAAUCUCUUUGGUACCCCAGCACAGCCCAAGAGCUCUGCUGGCUGCUCACAAAUCUGUGGCCACUGGG
rnacentral:lncRNA from 12 species